CCAGGCUCAAAAACCUUUGUAGUCUAAAUUAGAUUUAAACACAGUCAUCUGAAUAGCUAGAUACUGUUAGAGGAAGAAAUAUGGAACAAAUACUAAAUGUAUAUAUAUGUAUAUAUAAAUAUUUUCCAUUUGAAAUGGGUUACUUGUUAGGUAAACUAAAUAGUUGAAAUGUAACUUUAAUUUUGAUUGAGCUCUAGAUCUGUGCAGGUGAGCAGCCAAUCGAGCGUAAUUAGGUCAAGCUGACUCCGCCCACCGAGAGAUGCGGCAUUAGAGAGAGAGAAAAAAACUUGAGAAACAACGUGAAUUAGAAGCUGCGUAAGAUCUUGAUUUAUUUCAUUUUGAGAGAGAACGCAUGUGAAAACCAAACAUUGUAAGUUAUUUUGCAGACAUUUUGUUGAUAAAUAAGUUUUAUUUCAAACUACUCACUUACUUACAUUUUGUUGAUUAUGUGACCGUCGUCACGCUGAAUUCCAGUGGAGUAGGCCAUCAUUGCGUCAUCCGAGAGAAACCUGGAAAAAAACAGAGAAAUAUCAUUAAUACACGAGGGAAUCGGCCAGUUUUGUUAUUUUAGAAAUCUAGAAUCUGGAUUUUUUCAAUUCAUGAAGAUGGCGAGCCAACCGUAAAUCGAUCAGAAACAACUAUCCUUUGUCUUUUUGGACAUCUGUAUCACUUCACUUUCGGCAGGACAUCGCGUCGGAUUUUUUUCUUUUGAGGUUUGAAACAUCUGACAUUUUCAUUUUUCCUUUUGAGCAUUGGAUCACUGAUUUAAAGGAACUGAGGAGACAAUAGAGCUCGGGCGUAGACGUCAUGGAAUGGUGCAUUGUGGGUAACGGCGGCCAUUUUAGAGGUAUCGCAAAGCAGGUUUGUAAUAAGAUAAUAGCCAGUCUCCAGAAAAAGUUAUAGAACGUGACAAAAAAAGUUGCCUAUACCUAUACGGACAAACUUAAUAAUGAAGCCAAAAAACGCUACUUAAAAAAAAAAGAGGUUGUAGGCGGAAUCGAUCCCUAUGAACACAUGAAAGUUUACCAAGCCUCAGUUUCCCUGAUAAUUUAUCCUACCGGGUCUGUGGAGUGAGCGCUUACACCUCCGAUCAAUUUAAAAAUGUCACUUUCACUUUUUAAAAAGUCACUGGAGGCUCACCUGCAGAUCAUAAAUGGAUCUGCAAAUUAAACGUGGAGAAAACAAUCUUUUUCACUAAGGAAAUGUUAACAUUAACCAAGCAUCAGUGGUGACACACACACACACACACACUUAUCAGAUUCUGCGAGCUAUGAAGCUGUCUAUGCGGGUUUGUUGCACUUCAGGAGUAAUUACUCACCUAUCAUAGCCUACUUGCAAAAAUCCACUGUUUUCCUCCGGUAGUUCUGUAAUCCGGUAUAAUAUUGACGAACAUUCACCUCAGACACAACCCACCAUUCACCAAAACAAGACGCCUAACUUCCUAUUUUGAAGUUCGUUCCAGUUUUUUUUUUUUUAAACAAGUUGUUCAAAUUUGUUAAAUACAGUCAGCACAAAAAUAUCAAAAAGCAAAUUAAGUUCAGGAUUGGGUCAAAAGAAAAUGUUUAAACAAAAAAUACAGACACUAAACUGACUCCCUUACUGGCCAAAAACUAGAGAAAACGUAAUGUGUUUGUGUGUGUGUAUGUGAGAGAGAGAGAGAGACCAUACACAACAUGCCUCACCAUAACUAUGUAUUAUAAUAUUAUCGAAGGUGAUGGUUUCCCUCCGUACAGUGGCGACCCAAGCCAUCUGACGCCUCUUGGUGAUUUCAGACACCUUGUGUUUUUUUCCAAGUAGGAAAAUGUUGAAAACUAAUAUGAUUCACGAGGCGUUUGCCCUGUCGAUCAUGAAACCGAUUACAGCAGUUCACAAUACAGCAAUACUGAACCAUUUUCCAAAAAAUAAUCAAAAUUAAUGACCAAAUGACCAACGUUACCUAAUGCCUACUAUACAGUACAUCUACUUCUGUACCGCGAUUCCCACAAUGCAUUGCGACGUGACGCAACGAUCCCGACCUCUAUAUCAUUCUUUAUUGUUCAGACUGACAUUUUGUUUGAACUGUGCAUUCAAGAAUUACUGAUACUGCAUUGAUACGCAUUCAUUUAGACUUUGUUUCGUAUAAACAAGUGUUUACAGUGGACAUUUGUACGUGUGACUAAACACAAGUCCUGACAUUCGUGUUUAUUUUAUAUUUACUGAUCUUGAGUAUACAUUUGAGUUGUGUACAUAAAAAAGGAGAUCAGAAAUUGAAUGUUUAUUACAAUUUAAUUUGCAUUGGAGAGAAGAAUUUUCUAUGUCAAGGGUUAAAUUUCAAAUUCAUUUAGCUUAAUUGGUAAAAAGUAAUAUUUAAAGCAGAUUUAAUAUUUCUUUUUUUGGUUUUAUUUUUUUUUUUUGUUUGUUCUUGUUAUUUUUGCCCUUUAUGCAGUGUCAUUGAUAUUUUUUUUUUUCCCCAACCAGUGUAUCCUAUCAAUCGCGCUUACAAGUAAAUUUUAUCCAAUAUAAAGGUGCGCAUUUACAUCUA